GUGCUCACUUCGACAGCACAUAUGCUAAAACUGGAACGAUACAGAAAGAUCAGCAUGGCCCCUGUGCAAAGAUGACACAAAUUUAUAAAAAAAAAAUAAUUGUUUA
ensembl:snRNA U6 U6 spliceosomal RNA